rnacentral:sRNA from 1 species
CUCUGAAGUCCACAGCUGCUCUUGGCUGCUAUUGGAAACCUAUGCACUGCUGGAAAGGCUAUUGGAAUGCUAGAAUAGAACUAAGGAUGUGAAUUUCAGCAGGAGGUGCAGACGUGAAUGAUGUUGAAGAAACCGUCCAAGAACAGGAAACCCGGGCACAGAGUGAUCCGACCAUGGCCUUAUAAAGAAAUGCCGAUUGCAGCUGCUUAGCUUGUUCCUGUCACUUCCUUCCCUCCAGCUAUAAGUGUUACCUGCAUAUAUGGUGAAGCCAAGGACAAUGAACGGUUUUAGGUUUGAAAUGUUGCCAGACCUCUGUUGUGAUUCAAACAAGUCUUUUUAAAUUUAUUAUGAUGCAUUUCCGGAUUUUCUUUGAUGAUACAAGCAAAUAUAUACUUUUAAUUC